rnacentral:rRNA from 1 species
AGUAACGCGUGGGUAACCUGCCCUAUACACAUGGAUAACAUACUGAAAAGUUUACUAAUACAUGAUAAUAUAUAUUUACGGCAUCGUAGAUAUAUCAAAGUGUUAGCGGUAUAGGAUGGACCCGCGUCUGAUUAGCUAGUUGGUGAGAUAACUGCCCACCAAGGCGACGAUCAGUAGCCGACCUGAGAGGGUGAUCGGCCACAUUGGAACUGAGACACGGUCCAAACUCCUACGGGAGGCAGCAGGU